GUUGAACACUUGCUACUCAAGUGCGAAUGCAGAAAGGCCAAUUAUUUCCAUCCCUCUCUCCCGCAGGCUGUUAGCCGCCCGCAAAGCAGGCCGGGUGCGGCGGGCGGAACCCUCGGCACGGGGCCGGUUUCCGUGCGGGCGCCGAAUUGCGCAGCCCCGCCAUGGCGGCGGAGGGGGGAGACCCGCUGGGAUACUUCGCGGCCUACGGCAGCUCCAGCUCUGACUCGGAGGCCGACGAGGCCUCGGCCGAGGAGCGGCGGGCGGGGGGCGGCGCGGCGGCGGAGAGCAGCCCGGGGAGCCGGCCGAAGCUGCCGCCCCCGGACGAGCUCUUUCGGAAGGUGUCCCAGCCGCCCGCCUUCCUCUACAACCCGCUCAAUAAGCAGAUCGACUGGGAGAGCCGCGUCCUGCGGGCGCCCGAGGAGCCGCCCAAGGAGUUCAAGGCGUGGAAGACGAACGCCGUGCCGCCGCCGGAGGUGUACAGCCCGCCCGAGAAGAAGCCUCCGCCGGUCCCCGCCGUCGACAUGGCCAUCAAGUGGUCUAACAUCUACGAAGACAACGGCGACGACGCGCCGCGGCCCGCCGGCAGGGCCAGGUUCCUGCCUGAGGAGGAGGAGGAGUCCGUGGUGUCAGAUGAUGAAAAAGAUGACGAACCAGCUUAUGCUAAGAAACGGAAACUAGACCCCGAGGAGAAGACGAAGAGGAAGAAGGUAAUGUUCUUGGAAUGUGGGAGGAAGCCGAGCAGGACGGACCGGCAGUCGCUGUGUCAGUGCCCAGUGCCACCUCCUCCUGUAGGACUGCGGGACGGGAAGAGACCCCACACAGGGCCAUGCCAUGGGCUUCACAGCACAGCCACAAAUGGAAGUCAUGUCCAUCCCUCUCUAUGCAACACGUUUUACAAGAAUAUUACGCUACCAGAUCCGCCCCUCAGCCUGGCGGUGCCUGUCGACACGUCACACUAUCGCGCACUUCACCUCAAGGAAGAUAAGAUGGCAUUUCAGAUAUGUUCGUGCCAUAGGAUGCCUGCUCCUUGGGAUCGGGGCAGGGUGGCUGUCAGCACUUCCAUCCCGGGAGCCUUUUUCAGUAGCAGCUAUGGGGAAAGCCAAAGAAGUCAAGCGCUGAGAGGUGAAGCCAAAGAACAAACAUUAUAAGGGACACAAAGAAUUAAAAGAAGCUUGGCCACUCUACCUCCUCAUCAGCUGCUGCGCGACUGCCUUUCCGUGUUAUCACAGUGCUGAGGGAGAGCUGGGAGCGAGCUGUCAGCAGAUGCGUUUGGACCCUUUACACUUCACUCAGAGUUGAAAUUCUGAGAUCUGAGGCUGAUGAUUGGAUAAAAAUUACUAUUUCUUAUGGUAGAAAUGAAAGAAAAGAACUUCAAGAAAGGAGAUUAUCCUCAGAACAUGUUCACUAAAUGUGUUUUCCCAGUCUCAUGCUCUGUUUGCUGAUAUUAGGUAAUUGGAAGCCAUUUGAGAUAUUUUUCUUACUCAUUAAGUUUUGCAGGAUUUUUAAUUAAAUUUGUGUUGUAUAUGCAACAGUUUUAGGAUGCUAUGCAUAGCAGGAUUUAUGGUAGGUGCACCUGGCAGUGCUGAGGGUCUGCUCGCCUCCUAAGCACUGCGAGAAUCUGAAUUGGAGGCAAGGACUUUGUGGAAGCACAUCGCUGAGAAUUUUGUUCUUCCUGGGGCAGAUAUAGCAGGAAA